AAAUUGGUUCAGUAGUUCAGUGACAAUUUGAAAAUGAAAUUGACGCGACUAUGUGGACGUAGACAUCUGUCCGACACUGUAGCUGUAGCAAAUUUGUUAUCUCACACGACAAAAAUGUUCAGGACUUUGAUUGGGGGACUACCACCACAGGGGGAAACAUGCAAAACAAAAAUUUUUUAAAUCAACACCGCCGCGGCGGUGUCAAUAUAUGACUUAACCACCUUGUGUGGGUACCUGGGGUUCGCCUGACUAAACAUUUUCCCAAAAUUCCUGAAUAUUCUAAUCGCCUUCCUUUGAUGCUACCAUUACGUCACUUGUAGUCCAGAUGAAAUUAAGAUUCCGGUUUUCAUUAUUGUUACUCAUGAUUGGAAUAAAAACUUGGAUAAAACUAAUGCAGAAAUUAAAACAUUUUGAAACAUUUGGUCUACGAGAUGGCGAAUGCCGAUGUUCUAAUACUUGAUCUAUGUAAUGUGUACGUAUCGUACUUAUCAAUUAUCAAUGCCAACUGAUAAAAUUCCAGCCAACUACUCCACCACACGUGCGUGAUAAGUUAAUACUCAACUACAAGUUCAGAGUGGUUGAAAUGUCUCACUACAAUUGAAAAUGCGAGUAAUUCGAAUUUCAUUUAGUUAUCGAAGUUUGGUCUCUGACAUGCAAUAUUGUGAAAAAUGUGGAAUAUUAGGCUAUUUUAAUAUAGAUCAAGGAUCUCAACUGUUCUUAAGUGCAAUCUAAUUUGAACACAUGUUUUAUGAUGUAUUGUAUGUAUGUGCUAAAAUGUCGGGUGACAUUUUAUUACAGGAAUGUCGGUAUGCAUUUAUUGAAGGCUAGCAUUCUUCUAGCACUUAACCAAGCACUCAAGGGUGUUAUUAAUUCUGUUUUUAGAUCUAUUUCCGCUGCCCUCGGUCAGCUUCACCAAAUUAUCCUUUUUGUAUGAAUGCAAACUCAAUGUUAUAAAAGCACAUUGAAAUGAACUAAUAAAUAAUAGUUUGAAUCUGUCUUUAAA